rnacentral:rRNA from 1 species
UACGUAGGGUGCGAGCGUUAAUCGGAAUUACUGGGCGUAAAGUGUGCGCAGGCGGCAGAGCAAGUCGAGUGUGAAAGCCCCGGGCUCAACCUGGGAACUGCGUUGGAAACUACGAGGCUGGAGUACGGCAGAGGGGGGUGGAAUUCCCUGUGUAGCGGUGAAAUGCGUAGAGAUGGGGGAGAACACUCGUGGCGAAGGCGGCCAGCUAGACCAGUUCUGACACUGAGGCGCGACAGCGUGGGGAGCAAACAGG